CGAAGACGAACCGACUAUUGUUCUUCAACAAACUCCCCAAAAACGCCAGAAUGAGGAGGUAUCUCGCUCUUCUGGCGACUCGUCUCAAACCUAGUUUCCGGCCUUCAGGACUGCCCCUGGUGGCCAAGCUAAGUCUAAGAAGGCCAAGGU